rnacentral:rRNA from 1 species
AGGAGAGUUUACUCUCUUCGGUGGCGAGUGGCGGACGGGUGAGUAAUGCAUAGGAAUCUACCUUUUAGUCUAGGAUAACUACCCGAAAGGGUGGCUAAUACUGGAUGUGGACUACGGUUUAAAGCAGGGGAUCUUCGGACCUUGCGCUAAGAGAUGAGCCUAUGUGGGAUUAGCUAGUUGGUGAGGUAAUGGCUCACCAAGGCGACGAUCUCUAGCUGGUUUGAGAGGAUGAUCAGCCACACUGGGACUGAGACACGGCCCAGACUCCUACGGGAGGCAGCAGUGGGGAAUAUUGGACAAUGGGCGAAAGCCUGAUCCAGCAAUACCGCGUGUGUGAAGAAGGCCCUAGGGUUGUAAAGCACUUUUGUUAGGGAGAACGGGUUUUGUAGUUAAUACCUACAGGAUCUGAUGUUACCUAAAGAAUAAGCACCGGCUAACUC